GGCUCAAUGGUCUAGUGGUAUGAUUCCUGCUUUGGGCAUUUACUUUACAGCAUUCAUUGCAGGAGGUCUCGGGUUCAAUCCCCGAUUGAGCCC